rnacentral:miRNA from 1 species
CUAGCGAUACAACGACCACUAUC